UGAGCAGGGAUUGUGUGUAUCGAUGUGGUGCUACAAUAAUGCACUCCUUCGAAAGAGUUCCCUGCAAAAUAAAUUUGGGGAGAUGGGCAGUUGUGUUUCAUCUUUUGGAAAUAACAAUAAUCAUCCCCCCUAUAUUU